AGAGUUUGAUUCUGGCUCAGAUUGAACGCUGGCGGCGUGCUUAACACAUGCAAGUCGAACGUGAAAGUCCUUCGGGGCGAGUAAAGUGGCGCACGGGUGAGUAACGCGUGGAUAAUCUACCCUUAAGAUGGGGAUAACGGCUGGAAACGGUCGCUAAUACCGAAUACGCUCCCGAUUUUAUCAUUGGGGGGAAAGAUGGCCUCUGCUUGCAAGCUAUCGCUUAAGGAUGAGUCCGCGUCCCAUUAGCUAGUUGGCGGGGUAACGGCCCACCAAGGCGACGAUGGGUAGCCGGUCUGAGAGGAUGAUCGGCCACACUGGAACUGAAACACGGUCCAGACUCCUACGGGAGGCAGCAGUGGGGAAUAUUGCGCAAUGGGCGAAAGCCUGACGCAGCGACGCCGCGUGAGGGAUGAAGGUUCUCGGAUCGUAAACCUCUGUCAGGGGGGAAGAAACCCCCUCGUGUGAAUAAUGCGAGGGCUUGACGGUACCCCCAAAGGAAGCACCGGCUAACUCCGUGCCAGCAGCCGCGGUAAUACGGAGGGUGCAAGCGUUAAUCGGAAUCACUGGGCGUAAAGCGCACGUAGGCGGCUUGGUAAGUCAGGGGUGAAAUCCCACAGCCCAACUGUGGAACUGCCUUUGAUACUGCCAGGCUUGAGUACCGGAGAGGGUGGCGGAAUUCCAGGUGUAGGAGUGAAAUCCGUAGAUAUCUGGAGGAACACCGGUGGCGAAGGCGGCCACCUGGACGGUAACUGACGCUGAGGUGCGAAAGCGUGGGUAGCAAACAGGAUUAGAUACCCUGGUAGUCCACGCU
rnacentral:rRNA from 1 species